AGCCUGGAUGCAGCAAGCGCCCUGCGUGGAUGGUAUGACCGCCUUUCGUGGGUUGUAGACCUCUAUCACGCCAUGUCGCAUGCGUCAAGUGACGGUAGUGGGAGAAGAAAGCCCCGGCCCAACUACGUGCCCAGCAGCCGCGGUAAUACGUAGGGUGCGAGCGUUGUCUGGAAUUACUGGGCGUAAGAGCUCGUAGGCGGUUCGUCGCGUUGUCUGUGAAAACCCGCAGCUCAACUGCGGGCUCGCAGGCGAUACGGGCAGACUCGAGUACUGCAGGGGAGACUGGAAUUCCUGGUGUAGCGGUGAAAUGCGCAGAUAUCAGGAGGAACACCGGUGGCGAAGGCGGGUCUCUGGGCAGUAACUGACGCUGAGGAGCGAAAGCGUGGGUAGCGAACAGGAUUAGAUACCCUGGUAGUCCACGCCGUAAACGGUGGGCGCUAGGUGUGGGUUUCCUUCCACGGGAUCCGUGCCGUAGCCAACGCAUUAAGCGCCCCGCCUGGGGAGUACGGCCGCAAGGCUAAAACUCAAAGGAAUUGACGGGGGCCCGCACAAGCGGCGGAGCAUGUGGAUUAAUUCGAUGCAACGCGAAGAACCUUACCUGGGUUUGACAUGUACCGGACGACUGCAGAGAUGUGGUUUCCCUUGUGGCCGGUAGACAGGUGGUGCAUGGCUGUCGUCAGCUCGUGUCGUGAGAUGUUGGGUUAAGUCCCGCAACGAGCGCAACCCUUGUCCUGUGUUGCCAGCACGUGAUGGUGGGGGCUCGCAGGAGACUGCCGGGGUCAACUAGGAGGAAGGAGGGGGGGACGUCAAGUCAUCAUCCCCCUCCUGUCCAGGGCUUCACACAUGCUACAAUGGUCGGUACAGAGGGGUGCGAUACCCUGAGGUGGAGCGAAUCCCUUAAAGCCGGUCUCAGUUCGGAUCGGGGUCUGCAACUCGACCCCGUGAAGUCGGAGUCGCUAGUAAUCGCAGAUCAGCAACGCUGCGGUGAAUACGUUCCCGGGCCUUGUACACACCGCCCGUCACGUCAUGAAAGUCGGUAACACCCGAAGCAGGUGGCCUAACCCCUUGUGGAGGAGCUUCCAACGUGGAUUCCCG
rnacentral:rRNA from 1 species